ensembl:snRNA U6 U6 spliceosomal RNA
AUACUUGCUUCUGCAGGAUGUACACUACAAUUGGAUUGAAACAGAGAUCAGCAUAGCCCCUGUGCAAAGAUGAUACACACAUUUGUGAAGCAUCCCACAUUUAA